UACAAUUAUGAAAAGAGAAACAAAGGAUACGGAAUUGAUUACUAAUUUAAAGACGGAGUGCAUGAGGUUACGCAAUGAGAUUAUGAAGGAAACAGCAACAAAGAAUAAAUAAAUUUUGCGAGGCAUGGGUUUGAGAUGUAAGUGGAGAUGGAUGAUUUCAGCAAAAGUAAGGACAUUUGAACUUCAAAAGACUUGCAAUUCCAGAUCAUACAACAUAAACAUCCAAUCCAUAUCAGUAAAUUAAUAAAAACCUCAUAUGCACCACUGAACACCAAAUCUUAGCUUUUUCUUUAUAAAAUAAAAUGAAUAAAAAACUACUAAAAACUUUAAACCAGUAAGGCAAAG
rnacentral:misc_RNA from 1 species